rnacentral:rRNA from 1 species
AGACUCAGCUGCGGCAUCUGUCGUGGCCGGAGUCGAACCCCUCCACCCGUGUCGACGUGUAUCUUGUUGCUUUGGCGGGCCGGGUUGCCCGACGCAAGUGCCGCUGGACCAGAAGCUGCUUUGCGGCGGUUUGGCGCGCGCGGUGCUGUGCCGCCCACCGGCUCCGGCCGGAGCGUGUCCGCCAGAGAUAUAAAUAAAUCAAAACUCGUGUUGUUCUGUAGUCUAAGGCAAAAGAUUUUAAUCACAAUUGAUAAAACUUUCAACAACGGAUCUCUUGGCUCUGGCAUCGAUGAAGAACGCAGCGAAAUGCGAUAAGUAAUGUGAAUUGCAGAAUUUAGUGAAUCAUCGAAUCUUUGAACGCACAUUGCGCCCCUUGGUAUUCCGAGGGGCAUGCCUGUUCGAGCGUCAUAACACCCCCCUCAAGCCCUGCUUUUGCGAGUGAGUGUGCUUCGGUGUUGGGGCGCGUCGAAUUCGUUCGGCGGCCCUUAAAGACAGUGGCGGUAACGGCGAGAGCUCUACGCGUAGUACUUUACAUCUCGCGACAGGAGCGUCGUCGGCGACUAGCCAAGUUCAACCACCCCCUUUCACAUACCAAGUUGUAUCAAAGGUGACCUCGAAUCAGGUAGAUC